GAAGAACCUUACCUGGGUUUGACAUGCACAGGAUCGCCGCAGAGAUGUCGUUUCCCUUGUGGCCGGUGUGCAGGUGGUGCAUGGCUGUCGUCAGCUCGUGUCGUGAGAUGUUGGGUUAAGUCCCGCAACGAGCGCAACCCUUGUUCCAUGUUGCCAGCACGUGAUGGUGGGGACUCAUGGGAGACUGCCGGGGUCAACUCGGAGGAAGGUGGGGAUGACGUCAAGUCAUCAUGCCC
rnacentral:rRNA from 1 species